AAUGUUCACACACAGGUUCUCGUACAAUCACCGAAGUUAAGCAACGUUGAGCCUGGUCAGUACCUAGAUGGGUGACCGCUUGGCAAUACCAGGUGCUGCAA